AUGGGCCAGGGGGUAUGAAUGAAUUGGGGAGUAUGUGGUGGAUUGUGAAAAGAGGAUCGCUUGGGCCUGAAGCCCAAAUCUUGAGAAGAACUCCUAAACCCGGUUUCAUGAAGACUCCAUGGGAAAAUGCUUUCCACCUCUACCAAAAAUGUGAUCCGAAACAUACCUCAAACAGACGUCUUCCUCACCGUGAAGCAUAUGAAUAGUGCGGCCGAGAAACGAAAUCGACGCGAUGUUCGAUUCCUUACAUCGAAAAUCACAGGUCAGACGUAGGACUUCCACACACGGCGCAAGGAUUUCGAACUUCACCCUUGAACAAAGGAAACCGAGAUACUCCCCCUCGUCGUUUGAUCCUCUCUUCUGCUCGCGGUUAAUUGGGAUGAAGAGGUUCACUUGGGUCCGUGCGCUCCUUGGACACGAAGGUGAAGAGAGUUAUUCAUAUUCGUGGUGGCGUAUUGGUAUGAAGACGCUAUUGCGUUCGUGAUGAAGAUGAAGAACGAAGCCUUGCGCGUAUGUUACGCGUGUGGCGUUGAGAUGAAGAGUCAAGUUGCCUUUUUUGCUGAAGAUGAAUCGUGAACACCUUGAAUCGUUUCAAUUAUCGUGAAGUUGGGAUCGAAGUGUGGUUGAAUGUAUGGAGGAAUGAAGGUUUUUUUCAGGUGUUUGAGGUCGUUACAGGUUGGCUUAAGAAGUUGGUUAUGGAGUUUUUUGAGGUUCGGUUAGCAUUCUUUUUGUGGUUCUUGUGAAGGUUUUUGGAGAGUGAAGCUAUAAACACAAUUCUAUUGUGGAAAUUGAGGGUGAGAAUGAGAGUUAUGGAGGAUGAUGAAGGGUGGUUGGUUGAAGCCAUUUGGAAAAAUGAGAGAGGGUUCUGUUUUUGAGGAGGGUGGUGUAGGUUUUAUGAGGGUGAAGAAAAGGGUGGAGGGGGAUGGUUGAGGAGAAGAUGAUGCAGGGUUCUCCCUUUGAUUAUGAGGGGUUGAAGAGGUUAUUAAGAAUUGUGAGCAGGUUUGUUGGUUGUGACAGCUGGAGUCGGUUGUUAAUUCGGUUAGGGAGGUUAGGAGUUCAGUUACAAGUGGUUGGAAUUAUUGAGUUGGUUAUGGUGAAGCUCCAUUUUGAAUGAGUUCGGUUAAGAGGGAGUUUCUUGAAUUUUUGUUGAAGGUUCUUCGAGAGCAAGGUUUUUUGGGAGAUGAUUUUGUUAUGUAGUUGAAGGGAAGUUGUUUUGAGAGGUUGGAAAUGGUUUCUGUUAUGACAGUUAGAGAGUUGGUUAGGCGGUUAGAACGGCUGAAGUUUUCGUUGAAGUUUUGAAUUUUCUGUUAUGGUUUUGUUGAUGUUAGGUUAGUUGGAAUGUUGGUUUUGCAGGGUUCUGUGUAGGGAUUGAAGAAGUUGGAAUUGGAGGUUUUGUUUCAUUUUUUCUUCUUCCCUUUCAUAUUUGCAUAUGUAGUCUCUAGAAUGCCUCUCCAUAUGACCGAUGGGUCUCAUCUUGAAAUUGAUGGCCUAUCAAAUACUUGCUUAACGAUAAUGGGCUCACCAGUUUUCUAAUGCAUUCUAAACAUGCCAAUGCCAUCAGUUUUGAGAUCUUCCAAUGUUGGAUAAUAAAGAUUAUUAUCAUUGUUAGCCUCUCUUUGAGACUAUUGGCAAAGCCUGAGAGUAUCAAAUCCUGUUUUUGGUGGUUAUGAUUUGUUAUGACAGUUCUGAAUUGGAGAGUUUAAAAGGUUGGAUCGGUUGGUGAUUAAAGUGCGUUUGGAUUGAGUUUUUCAACUAUAGUAUGAUGCUGAAUUCUUGGUGUUUCUUUUGUGCAGGUUGCUAAAAUUAUGUAUAGAAUUUGGUUUGAAAUUAGAAUGUAUGGUAUUGAUAUGAACGGAAAAGUGAAUGCCUAUGGAAUCUGAAUGUAUAUGGCAUGUGAAUUGAAUAUAUGGUUAAGGUUGAGAUAUUAUUGAAA